UACGAAGGGGGCUAGCGUUGCUCGGAAUUACUGGGCGUAAAGGGCGCGUAGGCGGCACUGUUAGUCAGGCGUGAAAUUCCUGGGCUCAACCUGGGGACUGCGCUUGAUACGGCAGAGCUAGAGGAUGGAAGAGGCUCGCGGAAUUCCCAGUGUAGAGGUGAAAUUCGUAGAUAUUGGGAGGAACACCAGUGGCGAAGGCGGCUCACUGGACCGGUACUGACGCUGAUGCGCGAAACGUGGGGAGCAACGGG
rnacentral:rRNA from 1 species